AUUGAACGCUGUCGGCAGGCUUAACACAUGCAAGUCGAACGAGUGGCGGACGGGUGAGUAAUGCUUGGGAAUCUAGCUUAUGGAGGGGGAUAACUACGGGAAACUGUAGCUAAUACCGCGUACCAUCGGAUGUGCCCAGAUGGGAUUAGCUAGUAGGUGGGGUAACGGCUCACCUAGGCGACGAUCCCUAGCUGGUCUGAGAGGAUGACCAGCCACACUGGAACUGAGACACGGUCCAGACUCCUACGGGAGGCAGCAGUGGGGAAUAUUGCGCAAUGGGGGCAACCUGACGCAGCCAUGCCGCGUGAAUGAAGAAGGCCUUCGGGUUGUAAAGUUCUUUCGGUAGCGAGGCGUUAACUACAGAAGAAGCACCGGCUAACUCCGUGCCAGCAGCCGCGGUAAUUC
rnacentral:rRNA from 1 species